rnacentral:rRNA from 1 species
UUUCGCAAUGCCCGAAAGGGUGACGAAGCGACGCCGCGUGCGGGAAGAAGGCCUCCGGGUUGUAAACCGCUGUCGGGAGUUAAGAAAUGCAAGGAUGUUAAUAGCAUCUUUGUUUGACUAAGGCUCCGGAGGAAGCCACGACUAACUCUGUGCCAGCAGCCGCGGUAAUACAGAGGCGGCAAGCGUUGUUCGGAAUUAUUGGGCGUAAAGAGCACGUAGGCGGCUGUGUAAGUCGGUUGUGAGAGCCUUCCGCUUAACGGAAGAACGGCAUCCGAUACUGCAUAGCUCGAGUGCGGGAGGGGAGAGUGGAACUUCUGGUGGAGCGGUGAAAUGCGUAGAUAUCAGAAGGAACACCGGCGGCGAAGGCGACUCUCUGGCCCGUAACUGACGCUGAGUGUGCGAAAGCUAGGGGAGCAAACGGGAUUAGAUACCCAGGUAGUCCUAGCCGUAAACGAUGGGCACUAAGUAGAGGGGUUUU